GGCGUCAUAGCUCAGUUGGGAGAGCAGCAGACUGAAGCUUAUCACGAAUAUCUGAAGGUCCCGUGUUCAAGCCACGGUGAUGCCA